UACGUAGGGGGCAAGCGUUGUCCGGAAUCAUUGGGCGUAAAGAGCGUGUAGGCGGCUCGGUAAGUCCGCUGUGAAAGUCCAGGGCUCAACCCUGGAAUGCCGGUGGAAACUGUCGAGCUAGAGUCCGGAAGAGGCGAGUGGAAUUCCUGGUGUAGCGGUGAAAUGCGCAGAUAUCAGGAGGAACACCGGUGGCGAAGGCGGCCUUCUGGACAGUGACUGACGCUGAGACGCGAAAGCGUGGGGAGCAAACAGG
rnacentral:rRNA from 1 species